rnacentral:rRNA from 1 species
UGGGGAAUCUUGCGCAAUGGGCGAAAGCCUGACGCAGCAACGCCGCGUGCGGGAUGAAGGCCUUCGGGUUGUAAACCGCUUUCAGUGGGGACGCGGUACCCACAGAAGAAGCCCCGGCCAACUACGUGCCAGCAGCCGCGGUAACACGUAGGGGGCAAGCGUUGUCCGGAUUUAUUGGGCGUAAAGAGCUCGUAGGUGGUUCGAUAAGUCGGGUGUGAAACCUCCAGGUCAAACCUGGAGACGCCACCCGAUACUGUCGGACUAGAGUCCAGUAGGGGAGCGUGGAAUUCCUGGUGUAGCGGUGAAAUGCGCAGAUAUCAGGAGGAACACCAGC